UGGGGAAUAUUGGACAAUGGGCGAAAGCCUGAUCCAGCCAUGCCGCGUGAGUGAUGAAGGCCCUAGGGUUGUAAAGCUCUUUCACCGGUGAAGAUAAUGACGGUAACCGGAGAAGAAGCCCCGGCUAACUUCGUGCCAGCAGCCGCGGUAAUACGAAGGGGGCUAGCGUUGUUCGGAAUUACUGGGCGUAAAGCGCACGUAGGCGGAUUGUUAAGUCGGGGGUGAAAUCCCGGGGCUCAACCCCGGAACUGCCUUCGAUACUGGCAAUCUCGAGUCCGGAAGAGGUGAGUGGAAUUCCGAGUGUAGAGGUGAAAUUCGUAGAUAUUCGGAGGAACACCAGUGGCGAAGGCGGCUCACUGGUCCGGUACUGACGCUGAGGUGCGAAAGCGUGGGGAGCAAACA
rnacentral:rRNA from 1 species